UACGUAGGGGGCGAGCGUUGUCCGGAAUUAUUGGGCGUAAAGAGCGUGUAGGCGGUUCGGUAAGUCUGCCGUGAAAACCUGGGGCUCAACCCCGGGCGUGCGGUGGAUACUGCCGGGCUAGAGGGUGGUAGAGGCGAGUGGAAUUCCCGGUGUAGCGGUGAAAUGCGCAGAUAUCAGGAGGAACACCCGUGGCGAAAGCGGCUCUCUGGGACGGUACUGACGCUGAGACGCGAAAGCGUGGGGAGCAAACAGG
rnacentral:rRNA from 1 species